GUGGGGAAUAUUGGACAAUGGGCGCAAGCCUGAUCCAGCAAUGCCGCGUGCAGGAAGAAGGCCUUCGGGUUGUAAACUGCUUUUGUACGGAACGAAACGGUCCUGGUUAAUACCUGGGGCUAAUGACGGUACCGUAAGAAUAAGCACCGGCUAACUACGUGCCAGCAGCCGCGGUAAUACGUAGGGUGCGAGCGUUAAUCGGAAUUACUGGGCGUAAAGCGUGCGCAGGCGGUGCUGUAAGACAGGCGUGAAAUCCCCGGGCUCAACCUGGGAAUUGCGCUUGUGACUGCAGUGCUGGAGUACGGCAGAGGGGGAUGGAAUUCCGCGUGUAGCAGUGAAAUGCGUAGAUAUGCGGAGGAACACCGAUGGCGAAGGCAGUCCCCUGGGCCUGUACUGACGCUCAUGCACGAAAGCGUGGGGAGCAAACAGGAUUAGAAACCCCGGUAGUCC
rnacentral:rRNA from 1 species